UACGUAGGGUGCAGGCGUUAAUCGGAAUUACUGGGCGUAAAGCGUGCGCAGGCGGUUUGCUAAGACAGGUGUGAAAUCCCCGGGCUUAACCUGGGAACUGCGCUUGUUACUGGCAGGCUUGAGUGUGGCAGAGGGGGGGUGGAAUUCCACGUGUAGCAGUGAAAUGCGUAGAGAUCGGGAAGAACAUCAGUGGCGAAGGCGGCCUGCUGGGCUGUUGCUGACGCUGAGGCGCGACAGCGUGGGGAGCAAACAGGG
rnacentral:rRNA from 1 species